GACGAACGCUGGCGGCGUGCUUAACACAUGCAAGUCGAACGGAAAGGCCCUGCUUGCGGGGUACUCGAGUGGCGAACGGGUGAGUAACACGUGGGUGAUCUGCCCUGCACUUCGGGAUAAGCUUGGGAAACUGGGUCUAAUACCGGAUAGGAGCCAUCUUUAGUGUGGUGGUUGGAAAGUUUUUUCGGUGUAGGAUGAGCUCGCGGCCUAUCAGCUUGUUGGUGGGGUAAUGGCCUACCAAGGCGGCGACGGGUAGCCGGCCUGAGAGGGUGUACGGCCACAUUGGGACUGAGAUACGGCCCAGACUCCUACGGGAGGCAGCAGUGGGGAAUAUUGCACAAUGGGCGCAAGCCUGAUGCAGCGACGCCGCGUAGGGGAUGAAGGCCUUCGGGUUGUAAACUCCUUUCGCUAGGGACGAAGCUUUUUUGUGACGGUACCUAGAGAAGAAGCACCGGCUAACUACGUG
rnacentral:rRNA from 1 species